rnacentral:rRNA from 1 species
CCUACGGGAGGCAGCAGUGGGGAAUAUUGCACAAUGGGGGAAACCCUGAUGCAGCGACGCCGCGUGAGUGAAGAAGGAUUUCGGUAUGUAAAGCUCUGUCAGCAGGGAAGAAAAUGACGGUACCUGACCAAGAAGCCGCGGCUAACUACGUGACAGGAGCCGCGGGAAGACGUAGGGGGCAAGCGUGAUCCGGAUUGACUGGGUGUAAAGGGAGCGUAGACGGCAGGGCAAGUCUGGAGGGAAAGGCGGGGGCGCAACCCCCGGACUGCUCUGGAAACUGCCAGGCUGGAGUGCAGGAGAGGUAAGUGGAAUUCCUCGUGUAGCGGUGAACUGCG